CGGUGAGGUAGAGGUCGCGGUUGUUAGAAGUAAAUCAGUGGAGACGCAGAGAACGUCAUUGAAACUGUUGAAAGGAACUACCGCCGAAGUUUGAUUGCUGCUCUGGGCAAUUGGGCUGGGACUGUUGCCGGAAGGUGCAGAACUGUCACAAAUUUAUGAUAAGUAAAUUUGUGAUGAGCUAUCUUCAAA
rnacentral:ncRNA from 2 species